AUUGAACGCUGGCGGCAGGCCUAACACAUGCAAGUCGAGCGGAUGAAGGGAGCUUGCUCCUGGAUUCAGCGGCGGACGGGUGAGUAAUGCCUAGGAAUCUGCCUGGUAGUGGGGGAUAACGUCCGGAAACGGGCGCUAAUACCGCAUACGUCCUGAGGGAGAAAGUGGGGGAUCUUCGGACCUCACGCUCUCAGAUGAGCCUAGGUCGGAUUAGCUAGUUGGUGGGGUAAAGGCCUACCAAGGCGACGAUCCGUAACUGGUCUGAGAGGAUGAUCAGUCACACUGGAACUGAGACACGGUCCAGACUCCUACGGGAGGCAGCAGUGGGGAAUAUUGGACAAUGGGCGAGAGCCUGAUCCAGCCAUGCCGCGUGUGUGAAGAAGGUCUUCGGAUUGUAAAGCACUUUAAGUUGGGAGGAAGGGCAGUAAGUUAAUACCUUGCUGUUUUGACGUUACCAACAGAAUAAGCACCGGCUAACUUCGUG
rnacentral:rRNA from 1 species